rnacentral:rRNA from 1 species
GAAUGCUGACAUAAGUAACGAUAAAGCGGGUGAAAAGCCCGCUCGCCGGAAGACCAAGGGUUCCUGUCCAACGUUAAUCGGGGCAGGGUGAGUCGACCCCUAAGGCGAGGCCGAAAGGCGUAGUCGAUGGGAAACGGGUUAAUAUUCCCGUACUUGGUGUUACUGCGAAGGGGGGACGGAGAAGGCUAUGUUGGCCGGGCGACGGUUGUCCCGGUUUAAGCGUGUAGGUGUGUGUUCCAGGUAAAUCCGGUUCACUUUAACACUGAGGCGUGACGACGAGGCACUACGGUGCUGAAGCAACAAAUGCCCUGCUUCCAGGAAAAGCCUCUAAGCAUCAGGUAACAUCAAAUCGUACCCCAAACCGACACAGGUGGUCAGGUAGAGAAUACCAAGGCGCUUGAGAGAACUCGGGUGAAGGAACUAGGCAAAAUGGUGCCGUAACUUCGGGAGAAGGCACGCUGACACGUAGGUGAAGUGAUUUACUCAUGGAGCUGAAGUCAGUCGAAGAUACCAGCUGGCUGCAACUGUUUAUUAAAAACACAGCACUGUGCAAACACGAAAGUGGACGUAUACG